UCCCAAGGGCCUCGGCCAGGGUAGGAUGGUACACACAUGGGUGGCUGCUUCUGCAUCCCCAGGGAGCGGAGUCUGACCCGGGGCCCAGGUAAAGAAACUCCUUCCAAGGAUCCAACUGUAUCGAGUGAGUGUAUAGCCUCAUCUGAAUACAAGGAAAAAUGUUUUCUGCCACAGAACAUUAAUCCAGACCUGACACUCUCCUUCUGUGUAAAGAGCCGCUCCAGGAGGUGUGUAAAUGGACCCCUACAGGAAGCUGCUCGGAGGCGGCUCUGGGCACUGGAGAAUGAGGACCAGGAGGUGCGCAUGCUGUUUAAGGUGAGCAUGAAGGAAACAGGUGAAUGCUGAGUACUGACUUGUGUCAGUCUGCUACAGGAUCCCCAGCAUCUAAGACAGCAUCUGGAACAAAGUAGGUCCUCGGAAAAAACAUCUAAUAGGUAGACUGAAUGAAUGAAAGAUUCCGUGCACAUUCUCUGCACAGGAGUGGAGAGGAGUGGGCGGGAACUCUGAAUGAGGCAACUUGGAGUUGCUGAGUCAGAGAAAAUUUGGUUUCAAAUAUUCUAUUAGUUGUGAUCUUUGACAAGUUACUUAACCUAUAUAGAAUGGGAGUUGUUAUAAUACCUACCUCAUUAAGUAUACUUUUUUUCUAAUGCGGUAAUUUCAAAUUCUUUUUUUUUACUGUGAUACAAUAUACAUAACAUAAAAUUUUCCAUUUUAAUCACUUUUUAAGUGUAUGAUUCUCUAUGACACUAAGUACAUUCACAACCUAUCCACCUCCAGAACUUUUUCAUCAUCUCAAACUGAAAUUCCAUAUCUAUUAAACAAUAACUCCCAUUAUCCCCAUGUCUCAGCUCCUGGUAACCGCUAAGUAUAUAUUUUUAAAGUACCAAGAUUGCCAAUCAAAAAACAAUACCUUAUAAAUACUUGGGUGAGAGGAGGAAAAAAACAAUAAAGUAAAUAAACCAAUUUCUCAUCUUUCAUAGUAGGUAGAUAAUAUCUUCAUUUGUUAAAACCAAGGAAGAAUGGUAUGAUCAAAUUAUUUACAGUUUAGGAUGUAUUAAGUAGGAGAACUAAAGUCAGAAAUGGAAAAAAAUUGUUUCAACUAGAGGUAGGGAAAGGAUAAUAUUACUUUACAUAAACUAAUAUGUUCUAGUUACUUUUUACAGUUUCUGCAUGAAUCUGGUACAAACUGAAGGAGAAAAGUGUUCUAAAUGUCAUGCAGCAAAAAAAGAUAAUGUCUGGUUUUUCAGGGGGAAAACGAGAUUGUAUGAGUAGAGAGCUUGGCAUUGUGUUUGGUGAUAUGUGUUCCAUAAACAGUAGCUACAUUUUUUUGAAUUUUAUUUUAUUUUUUUAAUAUCUGGAAUUCAGGAACUGGGAGACACUGGCUGCUAUUGGUACUGUAGAUUUUCCUUUAUUUUGAGUCUCAUUUGGUAUGGCAGGAGCAGGGUUGAUUGAGAGAGCUGGUCUGCUGGGCUGAAGCUUGAGUCAGACAUACUUGUGGGCUACAGUUGAGGCCUGGAGUCAGCUAGAUCUGAAAUCUAAUCAAGGCUCCGCAGCUUACUCCCUGAAGGUGACCUUGGACAAUUUACUUAACCUCACUGUGCCUUGGCCCCCUUGAAUAUGCAACAGGGAUAAUGCCAUUUGUCAUUAGAUCUAAGAUGCCAUUGAUUAUAAAAUGCACUGUUAUUUUAUGUACUUCCAAGAAAGAAAACAAAUGCUGCCGAUUAUAGUUGAUGACAUACUUCCUUAUCUUUUAGUUCAGAAGUGGUUAAAUGUGAUAAAAGCACAUUUUGGAAUGGCCCAAAUACUGUCAUUGCAUUCUCUUCAUAGCGCUUUUGUGGGAGUUAAAUGACAUAUUGCUCAUAAAGCUCUGGGUGAAGUGCCAGGGAUGUAGUAAAUUCUCUGUAAGUUGAUUUUUACCUAGCACCCCUUCCCUAAUGAUGGAUCUGGGGCCUCCUGGGGUUUGGUAUGGCAGAAGGAACCCCAGAGUUCUGAUUUUACUGAACUGGGGCUUUUCUUCUGGAUUCUUCUAUCUUCUUCUUCCUCUAAGUUUCCCUCAUGAUAGAGCUCCUGGAGUUGGUACUGAUGACAGGACCUGGCCUGGUGGAGGGAUGUUCUGACCAUCACUUGUUACAUUCAACUCCGGAGGCUUGGACAAACAACAGAUUUAAGGGAAAACUAAGUCUGGGCAGUGAUUCAGACCUGCUUUUUUUUUAGGUAUUAAAAAAAAACCAGGCCGGGUGCGGUGGCUCACGCCUGUAAUCCCAGCACUUUGGGAGGCCAAGGUGGGUGGAUCACGAGGUCAAGAGAUCGAGACCAUCCUGGCCAACAUGGUGAAACCCCAUCUCUAUUAAAAUACAAAAAAUUAGCCAAGCGUGGUGGCGGGUGCCUGUAGUCCCAGCUACUCGAGAGGCUGAGGCAGGGGAAUCGCUUGAACCCGGGAGGCGGAGGUUGCAGUGAGCCGAGAUUGCGCCACUGCACUGCACUCCAGCCUGGCGACACAGCGAGACUCCGUCUAAAAAAACAAAACAAAAGAAAACAAAAAAACCCCCAAGAGGCUUAUAGUCUUCCUGUCGCUCUCCUUGUGAGCAUGUAAAUUGGAAAGCCUUCCUGGGGGACAGUUGGGUGACUGCAUUUUAGGAUUGAAAAUGUGCAUAUCCUUGCAUUUCCAAUUGCACCUCUUAGAAAUACAUGUGUUAAAACAAUUAAGAAUGUGCACAAAGAUUUAGCUAUAAAGAUGUUUAUCACAGUACCAUUUAGGAUUUUAAAAAAUGUAAAACAAUCCAAACAUGAAAGCAUAAGAAAAUGAUAAUAAUUCAUUAUGUUAAUGCAACAAUGGCACAUGUAACCAUUAAGAAUGGUGUAAACUUUGUGAUGACAUAGAAGAUGCUUUGCAAAAUAUUGCUUAGCAGCAAAAGAAGAUUGCAAAAUAAUUUAUGCAAUGUGAUUCUAUAUAUGUGAAAUAGUUAUAUGGAAACUUGUGUAGGAAAAAGGAUUCAAAUUUAUUACGUGAAGGUGUUAACACUGAUGAUCUUUAGGAGUAGGGACUAGGGAUGAUUAUUUUUGUGGGUUUUGGUUUUUCUGUUUUCAGCUUUGUAUUAAUAAAAAUAAUCAUUAGACAUAGACUCACAAUCAAAUUUGCUUUCAAGUUGCCUUCUAUGAAUCAGCGUCCUUUAUCCUCCCACAUACACUUUUUUUUUUAAACACAAAAAGUAGCAUUCUUUGCCCAUAGUUCUAUUCCCUGGCUUCUUUUGCUGCUGCCGCUGUAUAGCAGUAUUAUAUCUGGAGCCUAUAUCAGUACACAAAGAGCUUCUUUCUUCUUUUCUGUGGCUGCAUAAUACAAUAUUUCACUUUAUGGAUAAAUUGUACUCCAUUUUAACCAAUCUCUUAUUGAUGAAUAUUUAAGUUGUUUCCAUUUUUUGGUGAUGUAAAAAUCAAUGCCAUAAUCAAGAAGUUCAUACAGAGUAUUUGGUCUAUAUAAGAGCUUGCUAAUGGGACACUUCUGUCAUCCCAGGCUGACUCAUUGUUUCCUUUACGUAGGACCUCUCAGCAAGGUUGGUCAGUAUCCAGUCUCAGAGGGCCCAGUUUCUCAUCACCUUCAAGACCAUGGAGGAAAUCUGGAAGUUCUCCACCUACCUUAAUUUAGGUAUGGUACAAGGCAAGCAGGUGGAGGAUGACCUCCUCCACAAUUUAGCCAAUUUGUAGGGCUUGACAUGAAGGAAUUGGCCUGGCUCUGGUAAUUAAGAGAAAUAGAGCCUUAAAAAAGAUGGUUAACUUUUGAAAUUUCACAAAGUGCCUCAAACUAAAUCUAAGGCAAAUAUUAACUAUUAUUCUAAAAUGCCAUAUGAAGAAGUUUGCUUUUUUGUGUCCAGGGAAAUCUUUUUUUAUUAGAUAACCAAUCAAUUGGAAAACAGUUAUUGGUCAUCUACUAAGUUCAAAGUACUGAAAUAGAUGUGAACUUGGUGCUAGUGUGUGUGUUUUAAACUAUAGGGAACUAAUCUUGAGUAAGAUCGAAGUAGCUGCUCAACAUAGUCAAUAGCAAAGUUCCAGAUGUUUUAUUGCAUGUAUUUGGAAAAGAGUUAAAGAAAGAAAUAGAGAAAUUAUCUGCUUAUAGCAACCUAAGGCUGCAGUGUUUUCUAGAAGGUAAAGAAGGACAUUGGGAUGCAACAUCAGUUCCACUGUGGUGGGAAAUGGUUCACCUGCCAUCUCCAGACAGAACAACUUAUAAUGGGGAAGUUAAAGUGAAGCCAAACAAAACAACAGGCCACCUAAUUUGAUGGAUGUUUUAUAUCUCCCAGAAAAUGCUGGGCUCCAUGCCGACAUACACAAGGACAGAUUUUGUGCAGGGGUGGAGGGUCAAGACGACUCAUGACUGGAAAACAUAAGGUGUAUCUUCUCCUCUUAUGGUCUGGAGAUCUGAUCUCCACACUACACAUCUCCUUCCUGACCAUCAGACAUCCUCACUAUUCAAACUGUGCUCCAUAGACCGGCUCGUCGGCAGCACAUAGAGUCUGUUAAAAAAAA
rnacentral:sRNA from 1 species